rnacentral:rRNA from 1 species
AUUGAACGCUGGUGGCAGGCCUAACACAUGCAAGUCGAGCGGAUGAAGGGAGCUUGCUCCUGGAUUCAGCGGCGGACGGGUGUGUAAUGCCUAGGAAUCUGCCUGGUAGUGGGUGAUAACGUCCGGAAACGGGCGCUAAUACCGCAUACGUCCUGAGGGAGAAAGUGGGGGAUCUUCGGACCUCACGCUAUCAGAUGAGCCUAGGUCGGAUUAGCUAGUUGGUGGGGUAAAGGCCUACCAAGGCGACGAUCCGUAACUGGUCUGAGAGGGUGAUCAGUCACACUGGAACUGAGACACGGACCAGACUCCUACGGGAGGCAGCAGUGGGGAAUAUUGGACAAUGGGCGAAAGCCUGAUCCAGCCAUGCCGCGUGUGUGAAGAAGGUCUUCGGAUUGUAAAGCACUUUAAGUUGGGAGGAAGGGCAGUAAGUUAAUACCUUGCUGUUUUGACGUUACCAACAGAAUAAGCACCGGCUAACUUCGUG